AGUGAACGCUGGCGGUAGGCCUAACACAUGCAAGUCGAACGGCAGCACAGUAAGAGCUUGCUCUUACGGGUGGCGAGUGGCGGACGGGUGAGGAAUACAUCGGAAUCUACUUUUUCGUGGGGGAUAACGUAGGGAAACUUACGCUAAUACCGCAUACGACCUACGGGUGAAAGCAGGUGAUCUUCGGACCUUGCGCGAUUGAAUGAGCCGAUGUCGGAUUAGCUAGUUGGCGGGGUAAAGGCCCACCAAGGCGACGAUCCGUAGCUGGUCUGAGAGGAUGAUCAGCCACACUGGAACUGAGACACGGUCAAGACUCCUACGGGAGGCAGCAGUGGGGAAUAUUGGACAAUGGGCGCAAGCCUGAUACAGCCAUACCGCGUGGGUGAAGAAGGCAUUCGGGUUGUAAAGCCCUUUUGUUGGGAAAGAAAAGCAGAAGGUUAAUACCCCGCUGUUCUGACGGUACCCAAAGAAUAAGCACCGGCUAACUUCGUG
rnacentral:rRNA from 1 species